GAUGAACGCUAGCUACAGGCUUAACACAUGCAAGUCGAGGGGCGAGCGAUUUUUAGUAGCAAUAUAAAAGAUGGCGACCGGCGCACGGGUGAGUAACACGUACCCAACCUGCUGACAACUCGGGGAUAACCCUUCGAAAGAAGGCCUAAUACCCGAUGGCAUAUCCCUUCCGCCUGGUUGGGAUAUUAAAGAACUUCGGUUAUCGAUGGGGAUGCGUUCCAUUAGCUUGUUGGCGGGGUAACGGCCCACCAAGGCUUCGAUGGAUAGGGGUUCUGAGAGGAAGGUCCCCCACAUUGGGACUGAGAUACGGCCCAG
rnacentral:rRNA from 1 species